UUAUACAGCGAAACUGCGAAUGGCUCAUUAAAUCAGUUAUCGUCUAUUUGAUAGUACCUUACUACUUGGAUAACCGUGGUAAUUCUAGAGCUAAUACAUGCUGAAAACCCCGACUUCGGAAGGGAUGUAUUUAUUAGAUUAAAAACCAAUGCCCUCCGGGGCUCACUGGUGAUUCAUAAUAACUGCUCGAAUCGCACGGCCUUGCGCCGGCGAUGGUUCAUUCAAAUCUCUGCCCUAUCAACUUUCGACGGCUGGGUCUUGGCCAGCCAUGGUGACAACGGGUAACGGAGGGUUAGGGCUCGACCCCGGAGAAGGAGCCUGAGAAACGGCUACUACAUCCAAGGAAGGCAGCAGGCGCGCAAAUUACCCAAUCCCGACUCGGGGAGGUAGUGACAAUAAAUACUGAUACAGGGCUCUUUUGGGUCUUGUAAUUGGAAUGAGUACAAUUUAAUUCCCUUAACGAGGAACAAUUGGAGGGCAAGUCUGGUGCCAGCAGCCGCGGUAAUUCCAGCUCCAAUAGCGUAUAUUAAAGUUGUUGCAGUUAAAAAGCUCGUAGUUGAACCUUGGGCCUGGCUGGCCGGUCCGCCUCACCGCGUGCACUGGUCCGGCCGGGCCUUUCCCUCUGGGGAGCCGCAUGCCCUUCACUGGGCGUGUCGGGGAACCAGGACUUUUACUUUGAAAAAAUUAGAGUGUUCAAAGCAGGCUUAUGCUCGGAUACAUUAGCAUGGAAUAAUAGAAUAGGACGUGCGGUUCUAUUUUGUUGGUUUCUAGGACCGCCGUAAUGAUUAAUAGGGACAGUCGGGGGCAUCAGUAUUCAGUUGUCAGAGGUGAAA
rnacentral:rRNA from 1 species